CACGUAGGGUGCGAGCGUUGUUCGGAAUUACUGGGCGUAAAGGGCGCGUAGGCGGCCACCGCAAGUCGACUGUGAAAUCUCCGGGCUUAACCCGGAAAGGUCAGCCGAUACUGCGGGGCUAGAGUGCAGAAGGGGCAACUGGAAUUCUCGGUGUAGCGGUGAAAUGCGCAGAUAUCGGGAAGAACACCCGUGGCGAAGGCGGCUCUCUGGGACGGUACUGACGCUGAGACGCGAAAGCGUGGGGAGCGAACAGG
rnacentral:rRNA from 1 species